rnacentral:rRNA from 1 species
CACGUAGGGGUGCGAGCGUUGUCCGGAAUUAUUGGGCGUAAAGAGCUCGUAGGCGGUGUGUCGCGUCGGCCGUGAAAACUUGCAGCUUAACUGUGGGCGUGCGGUCGAUACGGGCAUCACUGGAGUUCGGCAGGGGAGACUGGAAUUCCUGGUGUAGCGGUGAAAUGCGCAGAUAUCAGGAGGAACACCGGUGGCGAAGGCGGGUCUCUGGGCCGAUACUGACGCUGAGGAGCGAAAGCGUGGGGAGCGAACAGG